GACGAACGCUGGCGGCAUGCCUAAUACAUGCAAGUCGAGCGAACAGAUGAAGUGCUUGCACUUCUGACGUUAGCGGCGAACGGGUGAGUAACACGUAAGGAAUCUACCUAUAAGCGGGGGAUAACAUUCGGAAACGGGUGCUAAUACCGCAUAAUAUCUUCUUCCGCAUGGAAGCAGAUUGAAAGACGGCCCUGCUGUCACUUAUAGAUGAACUUGCGGGGCAUUAGUUAGUUGGUGGGGUAACGGCCUACCAAGACGAUGAUGCAUAGCCGACCGGAGAGGGUGAUCGGCCACAUUGGGACUGGGACACGGCCAAACUCCUACGGGAGGCAGCAGUAGGGAAUCUUCCGCAAUGGGCGAAAGCCUGACGGAGCAAUGCCGCGUGAGUGAAGAAGGCCUUCGGGUCGUAAAACUCUGUUAUAAGAGAAGAACAAAUUGUAGAGUAACUGCUACAGUCUUGACGGUAUCUUAUCAGAAAGCCACGGCUAACUACGUGCCAGCCGCCGCCGUAA
rnacentral:rRNA from 1 species